rnacentral:rRNA from 1 species
UAAAGAUUCAUCGCUGAUAGAUAGGCAUGCGUUCCAUUAGGCAGUUGGCGGGGUAACGGCCCACCAAACCGACGAUGGAUAGGGGUUCUGAGAGGAAGGUCCCCCACAUUGGUACUGAGACACGGACCAAACUCCUACGGGAGGCAGCAGUGAGGAAUAUUGGUCAAUGGGCGUAAGCCUGAACCAGCCAAGUCGCGUGAGGGAUGAAGGUUCUAUGGAUCGUAAACCUCUUUUAUAAGGGAAUAAAGUGUGGGACGUGUCCUAUUUUGUAUGUACCUUAUGAAUAAGGAUCGGCUAACUCCGUGCCAGCAGCCGCGGUAAUACGGAGGAUCCGAGCGUUAUCCGGAUUUAUUGGGUUUAAAGGGUGCGUAGGCGGCCUUUUAAGUCAGCGGUGAAAGUCUGUGGCUCAACCAUAGAAUUGCCGUUGAAACUGGGGGGCUUGAGUAUGUUUGAGGCAGGCGGAAUGCGUGGUGUAGCGGUGAAAUGCUUAGAUAUCACGCAGAACCCCGAUUGCGAAGGCAGCCUGCCAAGCCAUGACUGACGCUGAUGCACGAAAGCGUGGGGAUCAAACAGAAUUAGAUACCCUGGUAGUCCACGCAGUAAACGAUGGUCACUAGCUGUUUGCGAUACAGUGUAA